GCCCCUGUUGUCUAAUGGCUAUGACGUCAGACUUCUAGCUUACUUGAGCUAUCUGGAGGUUGCGGGUUCGAGUCCCGCCAGGGGUU